GCCGAUGUAGCUCAGUGGUAGAGCACUUCCUUGGUAAGGAAGAGGUC
rnacentral:tRNA from 1 species